GACGAACGCUGGCGGCGUGCUUAACACAUGCAAGUCGAGCGGUAAGGCCCUUUCGGGGGUACACGAGCGGCGAACGGGUGAGUAACACGUGGGUGACCUGCCUCUAGCUCUGGGAUAAGCCCGGGAAACUGGGUCUAAUACUGGAUAUGACUCCAUGACGCAUGUUGUGGGGUGGAAAGCCUUGUGCGGCUAGAGAUGGGCCCGCGGCCUAUCAGCUUGUUGGU
rnacentral:rRNA from 1 species